UAAAAAAUAAAAAUUGUAACUCAUGAUAUUAUCAGAUUAAUGGAAAAAAACAUACAAUUUUAAGAAAAGCAUUGAACAAAACAAUUUUCAUCUGUAAUAUUUAGAAAAACUCUCAGAAAACUAGGAAGAGAAAAAGAAAAGAUAUUAAUAGCAUGCUGAUGGAAAGGAAUGAGUUAAGUAAAAUCUAUUUGUAAAUGAUGUGAUUAUUAUCAUAGGAAAUACAAAUUGAAUAUAUAAUUCCAUGUUAAUAUGCAAAAUAUACACAUUCUAUUUCAUGUUUUCUGUAUGUUCAUACACACAGAAGUAUUUAUAUUUUAUGUGACCAAACUAUCCCCGUAUUGUAUAUACAGUCUUUAGUUGCUUUUUACUCAUGUAAAAUAUAUUAUGAAUAUUUUUUCAUAUUAAGUAUUUAUCAACACAUUGUUUUUAAUG
rnacentral:lncRNA from 1 species